CUGGGCAUUGGCAGGAAGGUGAACAUCAAGGAGGUAUACACCUUCGCCAGUGAGCCAAACGACGUCUUCUUCAAAUUAGUGGACAAGUCCACCGAGCUCAACGAGGAGCCUUUGAUGCGCUUCGGGAGGCUGUUGCCAUCCUUCGUCAGCAGUGAAAAUGCUUUUUACUUGUCCCCAGAUAUCAGGAAACAGUGUGAUUGGUUCCAAGGGGACCAACCCACAAAGAACCUUGUGAAGUUUGGUCACAAACAAGUGUAAGUGAUUAUAAUUAUUGUCUUAAAAAUUGUAGCGCUGCAGGGAAUGCACAGGUCCUCCAACCACCUCCUGAC
rnacentral:lncRNA from 10 species